rnacentral:rRNA from 1 species
AUUGAACGCUGGCGGAAUGCUUUACACAUGCAAGUCGAACGGCAGCAUAGGUGCUUGCACCUGAUGGCGAGUGGCGAACGGGUGAGUAAUACAUCGGAACGUGCCCAGUCGUGGGGGAUAACGUAGCGAAAGUUACGCUAAUACCGCAUACGAUCUAAGGAUGAAAGCGGGGGACCGUAAGGCCUCGCGCGAUUGGAGCGGCCGAUGUCAGAUUAGGUAGUUGGUGGGGUAAAGGCCCACCAAGCCAACGAUCUGUAGCUGGUCUGAGAGGACGACCAGCCACACUGGGACUGAGACACGGCCCAGACUCCUACGGGAGGCAGCAGUGGGGAAUUUUGGACAAUGGGCGCAAGCCUGAUCCAGCCAUUCCGCGUGCAGGACGAAGGCCUUCGGGUUGUAAACUGCUUUUGUACGGAGCGAAAAGCCUUGGGUUAAUACCUCGAGGUCAUGACGGUACCGUAAGAAUAAGCACCGGCUAACUACGUGCCAGCAGCCGCCGUAA